GAUGAACGCUAGCGGCAGGCUUAAUACAUGCAAGUCGAGGGGCAGCAGGACUGUAGCAAUACAGUUGCUGGCGACCGGCAAACGGGUGCGGAACACGUACGCAACCUACCCAAAACUGGGGGAUAGCCCGGGGAAACCCGGAUUAAUACCUCGUAACCUUUUUAAGUGGCAUCACUUGAUAAGUAUAGCUCCGGCGGUUUUGGAUGGGCGUGCGCCUGAUUAGUUAGUUGGUGCGGGUAACGGCCCACCAAGCCUGCGAUCAGUAACUGGUGUGAGAGCACGACCAGUCACACGGGCACUGAGACACGGGCCCGACUCCUACGGGAGGCAGCAGUAAGGAAUAUUGGUCAAUGGACGCAAGUCUGAACCAGCCAUGCCGCGUGAAGGAUGAAGGUCCUCUGGAUUGUAAACUUCUUUUAUGGGGGACGAAACCCGGAUAUUCUUAUCCGAUUGACGGUACCUCAGGAAUAAGCACCGGCUAGCUCCGUG
rnacentral:rRNA from 1 species